rnacentral:rRNA from 1 species
AAAUCGGAGGAAGGUGGGGAUGACGUCAAAUCAUCAUGCCCUUUAUGUCUUGGGCUACACACGUGCUACAAUGGUUGGUACAACGAGAAGCGAGAUAGAGAUGUUAAGCGAAACUCUAAAAACCAAUCUCAGUUCGGAUUGUAGGCUGCAACUCGCCUACAUGAAGUCGGAGUUGCUAGUAAUCGCGAAUCAGAAUGUCGCGGUGAAUGCGUUCCCGGGUCUUGUACACACCGCCCGUCACACCAUGGGAGUUGGCAAUACCCGAAGCCGCCGAUCUAACCGCAAGGAGGAAGGCGUCGAAGGU